AUUGAACGCUGGCGGCAGGCCUAACACAUGCAAGUCGAGCGGAGCGGCGGACGGGUGAGUAAUGCCUAGGAAUCUGCCUGGUAGUGGGGGAUAACGUCCGGAAACGGGCGCUAAUACCGCAUACUAUCAGAUGAGCCUAGGUCGGAUUAGCUAGUAGGUGGGGUAACGGCUCACCUAGGCGACGAUCCCUAGCUGGUCUGAGAGGAUGACCAGCCACACUGGAACUGAGACACGGUCCAGACUCCUACGGGAGGCAGCAGUGGGGAAUAUUGCACAAUGGGCGCAAGCCUGAUCCAGCCAUGCCGCGUGUGUGAAGAAGGUCUUCGGAUUGUAAAGCACUUUAAGUUGGGAGGCGUUACCAACAGAAUAAGCACCGGCUAACUUCGUGCCAGCCGCCGCGGUAAUAC
rnacentral:rRNA from 1 species